CUUAAAUGGUUACUUCUGGGGACUAAGGCUGAAGUGGGAACAUGGCAUGAUGUUGCUUUUAUUAUAAAUCCUUUAAUACUGUUUGAUUUUUUUAACUUGUGCAUAUAUCACUUUGGAAAAUAUCAAAUUUCAAAAUAACUCAGUAAAACACUGUGCAAUUGAAAUUGAAGCGAUGUGGUAGAAGAAUGCUUAAUGACGUGGAAAAAAUAUCUACAAAAUGAAAAUAAAAACAGUAGGUUACAUAACAUGUCAGAAUGUAAAGCAGAACCCAUUUUUGUAUAUGUGUGAAGCACAUGUGGGUUAAAAUGAUGCUAUAUUAUAGUCAGUGUAUAUGACAAAUUCCUAACUUUAGAUAUAAAUGGGUAUUCAAUUUUUAUUAAUAGACUCCUUUUUCCUGAUUAACAAUGUUGAAUGAGUGUUUAAAGACUGGGUUUGAAGGAACCCUGUGUUGUCUUCCUUCCCAGGGCUUGACCAAGCCCUUCCUAUAGGCCAUUUAAUAAUGGGGUUUAUCUUUAUCUUAUGGGCAGUGAGGAGCCACUGAAGUAAGUGAAGCAGACAGUGUGGUAAGAUUGCUUUAGGGUUUCUCUCCCUAAACUGUGGAAAUGUUUUGAGAGGCAAGCCCUGAAUCAGAAGCAAGAGUUAGGAAGCAGUUAGGCAACAAGGCAGGAAACGCUGGGUUCCUGAAGCAGGAAAGCAGCGGCAGGGUUAGAGCGAAGGGGGCAGGGUCAGAAACGACGCGACAGUGUCAGCCGGACUAGUGGAGAGGCUGUGUGUCCGCAACUGUAAGCUCCGUGAGGAUGAGGACCUCUUUGAUGUCAUUUACUGUUCCAUCCCAGGUGUACCCAGCACAGUUUCUGAUGCAUGUUGACACUCAGUAAAUAUCUGUGAUCUGAAGAAGAGGAAAGAAUCAGGAUGGCUGCCCAGAAGCCUGCCCGGGUUACGUGGGUGAAGGAUGGGCUGUUCGCUGAGUGGUAACGUGAAUGGCAGGCAGCGGGGCAGAGGGAGACGGAGAUGGAAGUUCUAAGCCCACAGUUCUCAAAGUACACUUCUGGUGGUUUUUCACAAGCAUGUGGAAGCUAUCUGAAGAUCAGAAGGGGAUUUCCUGGACCCUGGACUCACCCCUUCCUGGACGCACCCCUUCCCUGACUGGAGAAAGACAUUGUUCCGGAGACUCACUAAACAGUAUUGAAGAAAACAAAGUCCUUGCCCUCAGGGAGCCUCUAAACCAGCAUCCAUGAUUUUGUUGAAUAUUCACUGUGCACAAGAAGCUGUGGAAGGUCCAUCCAAGUUUGUAACAAGAGACUCCCCCUAAAUUUCUGACAAGUUAUUCGCUGCUCAUCCUUUGCCUGGCAUUGCUCAAACCAAGUUCAAAAACAGCAGAAACCUGGAAUGUACAGCUUUUUUUCUGUUUCAGAUGGUUUUACAUGGGUUUACCAAAAUAAAUUACAUCAAAUUA